rnacentral:rRNA from 1 species
CGGACGGGUGAGUAAUGUCUGGGAAACUGCCCGAUGGAGGGGGAUAACUACUGGAAACGGUAGCUAAUACCGCAUAACGUCGCAAGACCAAAGAGGGGGACCUUCGGGCCUCUUGCCAUCGGAUGUGCCCAGAUGGGAUUAGCUAGUAGGUGGGGUAACGGCUCACCUAGGCGACGAUCCCUGGCUGGUCUGAGAGGAUGACCAGCCACACUGGAACUGAGACACGGUCCAG